rnacentral:rRNA from 1 species
AUAUCCUACGGGAGGCAGCAGUAGGGAAUCUUCCACAAUGGACGAAAGUCUGAUGGAGCAACGCCGCGUGAGUGAAGAAGGGUUUCGGCUCGUAAAGCUCUGUUGGUAGUGAAGAAAGAUAGAGGUAGUAACUGGCCUUUAUUUGACGGUAACUACUUAGAAAGUCACGGCUAACUACGUGCCAGCAGCCGCGGUAAUACGUAGGUGGCAAGCGUUGUCCGGAUUUAUUGGGCGUAAAGCGAGUGCAGGCGGUUCAAUAAGUCUGAUGUGAAAGCCUUCGGCUCAACCGGCGGAAUGCAUCAGAA